UAAUACGUAGGCAGCGAGCGUUGUUCGGAGUUACUGGGCGUAAAGCGUGCGUAGGCGGUUUUCUAAGUCUGGUGUGAAAUCUCCCGGCUCAACUGGGAGGGUGCGCUAGAAACUGGGAGGCUGGAGUGCGGGAGAGGUAGGCGGAAUUCCUGGUGUAGCGGUGAAAUGCGUAGAUAUCAGGAGGAACACCGGUGGUGUAGACGGCCUGCUGGACCGUAACUGACGCUGAGGCACGAAAGCGUGGGGAGCAAACAGGAUUAGAUACCCUGGUAGUCCACGCCCUAAACGAUGCAUACUUGGUGUGGGCAGUUCAGUCUGUCUGUGCCGGAGCUAACGCGUUAAGUAUGCCGCCUGGGGAGUACGGUCGCAAGGCUG
rnacentral:rRNA from 1 species